UACGGAGGGUGCAAGCGUUAAUCGGAAUUACUGGGCGUAAAGCGCACGUAGGCGGAUUUGUAAGUCAGGGGUGAAAUCCCGGGGCUCAACCUCGGAACUGCCUUUGAUACUGCAAAUCUCGAGUCCGAUAGAGGUGGGUGGAAUUCCUAGUGUAGAGGUGAAAUUCGUAGAUAUUAGGAAGAACACCGGUGGCGAAGGCGGCCCACUGGAUCGGUACUGACGCUGAGGUGCGAAAGCGUGGGGAGCAAACAGG
rnacentral:rRNA from 1 species